rnacentral:rRNA from 1 species
UGUUGCUUGCAAGGGCGUAUGGUGGAUGCCUUGGCAGACAGGACCGAUGAAGGACGUUUGAGGCUGCGAUAUGCCUCGGGGAGCCGCCAACAGGGCUUUGAUCCGAGGAUUUCCGAAUGGGGGAACCCACCGACCGUCAUGGGUCGGUACCGGCUUCGGCCGGGGGGUACGCAGGGAAGUGAAACAUCUCAGUACCUGCAGGAAAGGAUAUUCCGUGAGUAGUGGCGAGCGAAAGCGGAUGAUGGCCAAACCUUGCGCGUGUGAUACCCGUCGGGGGUUGCGCGCGGGGUGUUGCGGGAUCGCGUGCGCCGGCUCCGACGGGCCGGCCGGCAGUUUUAGAAAACCAUGUGUCAGGGGAACCGGGUUGAAUACCGGGCCGCAGAGGGUGAGGGCCCCGUACCUGAACGCGCAUGGUCUGCCGAUCGCGUCUCCCAAGUAGCACGGGUCCCGUGGAACCCCGUGCGAAUCCGCCCAGACCGUUGGGUAAGCCUGAAUAUUCCUGUCUGACCGAUAGCGAACGAGUACCGUGAGGGAAAGGUGAAAAGUACCCCGGGAGGGGAGUGAAACAGUCUCUGAAACCGUGCGCCUACAAUCCGUCGGAGCCCUUUUGUGGGGUGACGGCGUGCCUAUCGAAAAAUGAGUCUGCGAGUCAGUGGCAUGUGGCGAGCAUAACCCGUGUGGGGUAUGCGUAGCGAAGGCGAGUCUUAAAAGGCGUUUGAGUCGCGUGUCCUGGACCCGAAGCGGGAUGAUCUAGCCCUGAGCAGGUUGAAGCGCGGGUAAGACCGCGUGGAGGACCGAACCCACCUGGGUUGAAAACCGGGGGGAUGACUUGGGGCUAGGGGUGAAAGGCCAAUCAAAUUCCGUGAUAGCUGGUUCUCUCCGAAAUGCAUUUGGGUGCAGCGUCGGGUCAUUACGUCCCGGGGGUAGAGCUACUGGAUGCUUGCGGGCCCGUAUCGGGUACCAACAGCAACCAAACUCCGAAUACCGGUGACGCGUAUCCCGGCAGUGAGUCGGCGGGGGAUAAGCUUCGUCGUCGAAAGGGAAACAGCCCAGACCGUCGUCUAAGGUCCCGAAGCGUGUGCUAAGUGGGAAAGGAUGUGGAGUCGCAUAGACAGCCAGGAGGUUGGCUCAGAAGCAGCCACCCUUGAAAGAGUGCGUAACAGCUCACUGGUCUAGUGGUUCCGCGCCGACAAUGUAGCGGGGCUCAAGCACACCACCGAAGACGCGGCAGUAUUUUGUACUGGGUAGGAGAGCGUCCCAUGAGGGGCGAAGCGGCCGUGUGAACGCGCCGUGGACUUCAUGGGAGUGAGAAUGCAGACAUGAGUAGCGAGAGACGGGUGAAGAUCCCGUCCGCUGGAUGACCAAGGGUUCCAGGGCCACGUUCAUCGUCCCUGGGUGAGUCGGGUCCUAAGGCGAGGCCGACAGGCGUAGUCGAAUGGAUGAACGGGUCGAUAUUCCCGUACCGGCUUUCAGCCGCCAAAACCGAGGCUUGGAGUACUAACCUCCGGGUCCGGGCUUACUGCUCCUUCGGGGGCGGGAUGCCCUGGCCUGUUGGGACCGAUCCUUGUAGUAGGUCAGCGCAGGAGUGACGCAGAAGGGUAGCCGGCCGCGGAGGUGGUUUUCCGUGGUCAAGCACGCAGGGCGUGGGACAGGCAAAUCCGUCCCGCAUGGGUCCGAGGUGCGAUGAUGGGGGCCUUAUGGCCCGAUAUCCGGUGAUCCCGGCUGCCGAGAAAAGCUUCGGCGUCAGGCUCAAAGCCGCCCGUACCCCAAACCGACACUGGUGGUCAGGUAGAGAAUACCAAAGCGAUCGAGCGAAUCCUGGUCAAGGAACUCGGCAAAUCACUCCCGUUCCUUCGGUUUAAGGGAGACCCCCGAUGGUGAACACACUUGCUGUGGGAGCUUUUGGGGGUGGCACAGACCAGGGGGUAGCGACUGUUUACCAAAAACACAGGUGCAUGCGAAGGCGAAAGCCGCUGUAUAUGCACUGACGCCUGCCCGGUGCCGGAAGGUUAAGAGGAUCCGUCAGCCUUCGGGUGAAGCGGUGAAUUCAAGCCCCGGUAAACGGCGGUGGUAACUAUAACCAUCCUAAGGUAGCGAAAUUCCUUGUCGGGUAAGUUCCGACCUGCACGAAUGGCGUAACGA